UGGGAUGCUGGGAAGGCCCCCCAUGCAAAGAAGAAGGAUAAAUACCUGGCUUCUUCUUUCACCCCCAUCUGCAUCUCUCACCAUUACCUCUAAUUGGCCAAACCCAACUGGAAUCCAGUGGCAAGAAAGCUUGGAAAAUAUAAUUUUCAAGGUUCAGCGCCCCCCCCUCAACACACACACACUGCAGAGCAGAGCAGAGCAGGGGAAGGGCAGGGAAUAAAUCUGAGAGCAACAGGCAAAUGACCCAAACAGCGAACAGCAUGUGAGAUGAAUCUUUAGAGUCCAUGUGUGACAUGAAUGCACAAGAAUGCACAUGUAUAUUCUGCUAUCACUUGCAGAUGUGUGUGCAUGGAGAAUGUGCAUGUGUGUGCUUUAGUGACUGUUCAAGGGUAUGUAUGCAUCAGAUAGAUUUCAGGGGUUUGUGUAACUAUGUGAGAAGAGCAAGCAUCCAAGGGUCUGUGUGUGAUGUGAACAUUCAAGGGUAUGUGUGUGUGUGAUGAGAAUAUUUAAAGCUCUCGGUGUGUGUGCUGUGAAUGUUCAAGGAGGUGGAUGUGUGCUGUGCAUGCUCAAAGCUAUGUGUAAGAUGCUGGUGAGAAGAAACGGGGAUGGGAAAAAGGAAAUGUACGGAAGUGUUCUCUAUGGACCCAGGAGAAGACAGGGCUAUGUGUCUUCGUUGGGGACAGAUGUGUAGUCCAAACUUUUCUUUCUCAUCUAUGCAGAGAAAAUUGUAUAUGAGGUGUGACUAUAAGAAACAUACGUUUUGGAGUUCCCGUCGUGGUGCAGUGGUUAACGAAUCUGACUAGGAACAAUUAGGCUGCAGGUUCGAUCCCUGGCCUUGCUCAGUGGGUUAAGGAUCCAGCGUUGCCACGAGCUGUGGUAUAGGUUGCAGACAUGGCUUGGAUCCUGUGUUGCUGUGGCUGUGGUGUAGGCUGGCAGCUACGGCUCCUAUUCAACCCCUAGCUUGGGAACCUCCAUAUGCCGCAGAAGUGACCCUAGAAAAGGCAAAAAGACAAAAAAAAAAAAGGAAAAAGAAAGAAACAUACAUUUUUGGCAAAUGUACUUUUCCAUCCAAUUGUCAUCUGCUUCAAAGCAGUCAUCUUUAAAAGUUACAUACUUAUUUUACUGAUAGAGCCAUAGCUCAACAAUGUUUCAGGCCCUGCUUUCAGUUGUUGGUGUGCCAUCCUUAAAAUCUACAAUCAUCACAUAUUCUUACUGGCUAAGGCUGGAAUUACCCAACUUUAUCAUUUAAUCACUCUCAUCACUGGCCUGACUUAGAAUUUUUCCAAAACUCAAAUCUCUCGCCUUAAAAAGAAAAAUGCUAACUUGUCACCUUUGAGGUCAAGCCUCCUCUGGGUAUGUUGGUUAUCUGGGUAUAAGCUUCAUUGCUUGCUUAUUAGCUGCUACAGAUGGGCAUGUACAGGGAGCUACAUAAACAACUGGGAACCAAAUGAAUAACACAGAAUCACAUCAUGCGCACAUUUGACUUUUAUGAAUUCAGAUGAUUAUACUGGGACUUUUAAAGGGGAGACUAAAAUCUGUAAAUAGUGCAGGAAUUUCCAUUGAUGAGCGUGCUGUUCCCAGGGUGCCCACUCUGGAGCGUGAGACGGGUGAAGCAACUCCAACUUGGACCCUGAAUGCCUAUCUUUGUGUGAGCAUCCCAUAAUACUGUGACUCUGAAUCUCCUUCAUAGUCUCCCAAAUUGCCCCUAUUCUGGGCCUUUCCUGGGGAGUGGGUGUUGUAGAGAACAGACCUGCAGUCCUAGUAUUUUAUACCAUACAGCCACUAAACACAAGCCAACUAGUUAACCUUGCGCUCAACCAAUAGACUAUGAUUGGUUCAAUCUCUGGAGGAAACACUGACCCUGCUGGGUUUCCCCAACAGACCUGUGUCCAUCACAAAGGUCACACCUUCCUAAGGGAGGGUUCAGUAGUAACUUGACUGUUCAUGAUCUGUGCCUUAUGCACCAGACUUGAGAAUUCAGCCCCCAGGUAAGAUGUAACUCUGCUAUAACAAGACAUCAUGGAACUCAUUUUCUUGCCUUCAGACAAAACUACCUUAAGGCUGUCCUGGACAGUUAUGAAUGUAAAGCCCUGUAAAAUACUGCUCAGCAUUCCAGCCCCACAGAACUUACUUCAGGUCUCUGUGGACAAGUACUCCUCUACUGCUGCUCCCAGCUCACUCCUUAUUCCUCUGGCCUCAGUUUAACCAUGUCUGUGUCUGCCCAGGAGGCCCUCUCUGAGCCCCUGGCCUGGCUGGGCACACAGCACAUAUGUCCCCAUAGCACAGUCCCCUUUGCUGGUUGAUGGGUCCACCUCCUGCCCAGUCCUAAGCACUAAACCAACAGGAGGACACUGGCUAGGUGAGUUCUGACCACUUUAUCCCCAGCAUCUGGUAGUCAAACUACUGUUUCCAUGCAUAUUUGUUGAAUGGUGACUGGAAUGCUUCAGAAAUCCACUUUAAUGCUUAAAAAUCUUAAAUGUCAAGGAAUUCCCCCCAUGCUCUAUUUUCCCAAAAUUCCACUUGCUGCAAUUCAAGCUUAGUGCCUCUAAAUCAUCAAAGGAGACUGGUCCAUCAGGACUCUCGUCAUUCUCUUCAAGUUCAGCAGCUUAAGUCUCUUCCUUCCCAUUGUUCUCCACUCCAAAUCCUCUUCACGUGCCCAGUUCAGGCCUUUCUAGGGCCUGCAGUGGGUCCCUCUUCGGUGACAGGUGUAGGAAUUCUGAUACAAAGGCAAUCGGUCAGGCAGCACAAGGCAGUGAUGGCCUUAGAAUCACAGUUCUGGAUUCAAAUCCUGCCUCCAUCACACAUUGGCUGAGUACCUUCACCUCCCCAAGCUUGUCUGAUAAAAACAUGGGAUAAAACCAUGAGUUAAAGAUACUGCAAGGGGCUGACAAAAGAAUCAGGAGAGGCGGGGCACACGAACAAGCCCACAUCUGUCCCAGCCCAGAGCAAGGGUCCAAGGGCUCUGCGGAGCCUGGACAAGAAGCCUCCCCAAGGUGGGGCCCAAGGCCAGGCCCUGUGAGGCUGCAAGAGACUAAGUGGUUGACAAAUCCUGCCCCUUGUGGUGCCCAUGCAAAUGAGCCCCACCUUCCCCCCACCCCAUGUCCCACCCCUGAGGCCUCGAGCAGGGUUUCCUAUUCUGGGGGUACCCCCUCUCCUAUUCCUAGCCCUGCUACCCCAAGGCUUCCUGAUGUGUCCUCCCAACCCUUAGUCCUGGUGUUCUCUAUCCUCAAAGAGCCCUACCCUCAAUGGUCCCCAUCUAACUGUAUUAGGGCCUUUUUCUCCCUCCUGGGCCAAAGAGAACCUGAGGGUCUUUCCCCCCACCUCUGUCCCUGAUAGCAGGUGUGCACGUGUGAAUGAGUGUGCAUGUGUACACACACGCCUAUUCUUUACUCUGGGCUACCAAUGCUCUCCUUGGCCAUCCCUUCCCCUGACCACUGGGGACAAGCCAGGGGCAGCCCCUCAGCUGCAGCCAAGUCUCAUUGCCUGGAUCUGCCCCUGAGUCUUUACAGAGACACCUACCUGGAUACUUAUGGAAGCAAGGACAAGAACAGCCUUGUCCUUCACUUCCCGUGGUCUCAAGCACUGACAUUCUAAGGCAGGUGGAGUGGCAGCCUGAAGGGACUGGCUAUAAUCCAGGCUUCUAGGAAAUAAAGCAGAGCUGCCCUAAGAUUUCAGGCAAAAGGCUUUAACUUGCUGUGUGUGCUUGCAGCUUAGUCAGCUGUGAGUUCUUGGCUUGUCGAACCUACAGCCACGCCGCUCUUCCCCUGCUGGGGUAGUAAAAUGGGUCAGCAAGUCCAUUCUGGUUUGAGUGCACCCUCAGCCUGUGACUAAUGUGGCUCUGGAGUUCCUGGCCAGGGGGAAAACACGGCCAACCAGAUGGAUGUGGCUAUGGGACUGACUGCCAUCUACCCAUUCUAAGAUGGGCCAAAGGAAUCUAUUAAUGUCCAAAUCACCCAUGUUCCUCUCCAAACAGGUCAGAAAUGCUUGGUUGUCACAUGCAUAACCUGGAAAAAGCAUCAACGGGAGUUGUAAAAGCUAAAGAUGAUACAGAUGAACUCCGGAGAAUUUAAGAGCCUAAAUAUGUCAGAAGGAAGGAAACAUUUACUGAGUGUUUAUAACAAGCCAUGCCUGGUGUUAAGUACUUUCACAUAAAUUAUCACACUACCUGAGAAAUAGUAUCAUGUUCAUGUUACAUAUGACAAAAAAUAAGUUAAAAACGGUUAAGAACUAACUUUGUACAUAGACCUGAGGUCAAAUUACUAGGGAGUAACUCUAAGCAAGUUAACUAACCUCUUUGGGUCUAUUUUCUCAUCUGCAAAAUAGGAGUAACAACGUCUGCUCUUUGGUUUAAAUAGAAAUGUAUGUUGUGGGUACCGGCUCUAGCCCAGCUCCUGUGACUCACGCCACUGUGACAGUAGUUAUAAUUUGCCUAAGGUCAUAAACCAGAUUCACACCCAGGUUUUCUGAUUUCCAAGUUCAGUGCUCAUGGGGAAAGCAGCGGAUUCACUUAAGUACUUCAUGAAUAUGGUCAUGAGGCAGACUCUACCCUAGGAUUGGGAAGUUAAGCAUGGGAGCCAGACCAAGAACUCAUUGUUCUAUGAAGUGUUAAGUGCAGAAGCGUGUUCAAGGUGUAGAAAUGGUCCACCAGGAGGGGUGUCUUGGGGAUACAUUAUCAGGGAAACAAGUUUAUAAAAGCGGUGAUGUUUUCUCCAUAGUCCCCGCAAGAGGGAAAAAUAGAUGUGACUGGAAAUCACUGGUGAAGUAACCAGGAGGGAGCUAAACCUCUGUAGAAAUCUUCUAGGAGCUGGGUGGCCUGUCUUAUGUUUUACACACACACACACACACAUUAACCUUUCUCUCCUUUGGCACACAAACCACCUCAAAUUGAACUCCCAAUACCCACAGCACACACAAUACUCUCCUCCCACUGCUUUCUCUGAGGACUCCCAUCCCCGAACAUCACCUUCUACUUUGCUCCCUGGCAAUCUCCCCACCAAGAAUACACUAGAAACAGGUUUUCAGUCAUGUUUGGCAGCCAAUGCAAGAUUCAGACUGGCACUCAGCAUAUACAGUCAUUUCUACUAUGAUGCUAAAAACACCUGCAUUCUGCAAAAUCACACUCCCAAAACAACAGAGAGGGAAGGGGGUUGGAGCACACCCCUGAAAACCUAUAGAAUUUUGUAGCCAGGGCACUAACAAAACAAAAUCCAGUUUCACAAUGAUGCUAAUGCAUUUGAACCCCAACUGGCAUGUACACUGGUCCCUUGCAGCCUUAAAUCCUUGGGUUUCCAUCUUCUUCCUGAGAUGCCGGUCCUAGCAGAGACCUUUCAUCAAAAUCAAAAAUGUAAUCCAGGAUAGAGCCUUCUCCAUCAGUUUUGUAAAACAAAGCAGGGGUGGGGAAAGGGUGGGGUCCUCCCUUUCCACUCAGUUGCCCCAGAACACGGUGGCAAAGCUUAACACUGUGGCAAAGCUAGGAGUGAGUCUUGAAACUACCAAACUAGCCACUACUUGCAAUUUUUUUUAAGGCUCUUGUAUGCAAUUUUCAGCUUUUUUCUUAUGAUGUUCUAUCCUAUCCCUGAUCACUUCAAAUUAUUAAUGUCUGAAGAAAACCUCACAGGAAUCAACCUAAUUUCUGGUUAUCCUGACACCAUUUAUCUACUUAGCAAUUUCAUACAUGCUAUUUCACUUCAAAGAAACAACUCUGUAACAAAACAGACCAUCUUUUGAAUGUCAUUAAGAUUCUGGUAUCAGCCCCAAUGUGUGGGGUUUCUCCCCCCACCAAGUAAUUCUCAGACAUCAGCUGGGUCUCCUACGAAUGAAGGCAAUUCUGGCACUAUCUACCUAAAGACAGCAUUGAAUCCCAAGGGUCAAGGGUCCAUCCAACAGGACUCCUCCUCUCUCCACUUCAGUCAUCAAGUGCAAGUCCAAGCAGACACCUAUGCUUCUGACCAACUCACUAUAAAACAGAGCUUCUGAGAUUCCCUUUCUUGGGUGCAAUUCAUUUGCUGGGGUGGUUCAGAGAACUCCAAGAAAUAUUUUACUCCCUAGGUCACUGGUUUAGGAUAAACCUCAGAAACAGCUACAUGGAAGAGGCAGAAGGCAAGGGAUGGGAAAGCUUCAUGCCCUCUUGCAGUGCAUCACUCCCCCCAGGUCUCCUGUGCUCACCAACCUCAAUGCUCUCCAAACUCCAUCCUUUAGGGCUUUAUAAGCCUAUGGGCAUGAAAGAGUACAUCAUUAGCCACUGGUGACUGAACUCAACCUCUAGCCCCACUCUCCUCCCAGAGGUCAGGGGCUGAAGAAGCAAGUUCCAGCCAUCUAAUCACAUGUACAGCCCUCAUCCUUAGGUUAUCAAGGGACUUUGCAAGUCACCUCAUUAACCUAACAAGACAUUUAUGCUCUCAUCACAGGAAAUUCCAAAGGUUUUAUGAGCUCUGUGCCAGAAAUGAGGAUGACGACCCAAUAUAUAUUUGUCAUAAAGAAACAUGCCACCUUCAGGAAAAUAGUCACCAUCUCACCCUGGUGAUUCCUCCCUUUCCAGGUCAGAGGUCCCUGAGGUGAACAUGCAAUGCAGUUCACAGACACGAUUCACUCCCAAAGCCAGAAAAAGAAAUGCACUCCUGUUCCUCUGGCUGCCCUCACCCUCUCCCACUGCCCAGGCUUCACUCCAAAGCUGCCACUAUGGCCCAGGAAAUCAACACGCCUCAGCUGGGCAUCUCCCUCUGGAUGGAGCAAAAGGGCACGGGCAGGAGGUGCAGAGGGAGGGACUCUGAGGACAAGGCACCUCCACUUGAUCAGAGAGCAAUUUCCCUGACCCUGUGUAAGAACAUGAGGCUACCUCUGGUGCAAAAACCCCAUUUCACAAACUAAUGUCACAUAGGCCGGUCUGUUUAACCCAGCAGGCCCUUUCUCUUGAUACCAUAAGUUUAACAGGAUCCAAGACUGCAGUCUUGCUACUGGAAUCACCAUUCUGGGCAGAAAGAGGCAUACCUGGGACCCUCCCUCUCUUCAUUUAGCAAAUGCUCACUAGGUUGAGUGCAAGGCACGGGACCAAUGGCUACCCAGGCUGCACAGUGAGGGGUGGAGCGCCCCAGUUCAGAGGCGAGAGAGCGGAUUCUCCUCCUAUGCCAUUAGUUAUCUGCAGAAAGACUCUCAGCCAAUCACACCUGGCCAUGACCCCCAACCCCUCUUUCUAAAUGGAGAUUAACAGGCUAACUUUAUUUCACAUGACUGUUUGAAAACAUAAAUGGUUAAGUCCUUUUAAAAUAUAAAAUGUUUAAAAGAUGAAUGAAUGGGGAGUUCCCAUUGUGGCUCAGCAGAAACAAAUCUGACUAGUAUCCAUGAGGAUGCAGGUUUGAUCCCUGGCCUCACUCAGUAGGUUAAGGAUCGGCAUUGCCAUGAGCUGUGGUGCAGGUUACAGACACGGCUUGGAUCUGGCGUUGCUGGCUGUUGCAUAGGGUAGCAACUACAGAUCCAAUUCAACCCCUAGGCCUGGGAACCUCCAUAUG
rnacentral:lncRNA from 1 species